rnacentral:rRNA from 1 species
UAGGGAAUCUUCCGCAAUGGACGAAAGUCUGACGGAGCGACGCCGCGUGAGCGAAGAAGGUCUUCGGAUCGUAAAGCUCUGUUGGUAGGGAAGAAGAAGUGCCGUUCGAACAGGGCGGCACGGUGACGGUACCUAACGAGAAAGCCCCGGCUAACUACGUGCCAGCAGCCGCGGUAAUACGUAGGGGGCGAGCGUUGUCCGGAAUUAUUGGGCGUAAAGCGCGCGCAGGCGGUCCCUUAAGUCUGAUGUGAAAGCCCACGGCUUAACCGUGGAGGGUCAUUGGAAACUGGGGGACUUGAGUGCAGAAGAGGAGAGCGGAAUUCCACGUGUAGCGGUGAAAUGCGUAGAGAUGUGGAGGAACACCAGUGGCGAAGGCGGCUCUCUGGUCUGUAACUGACGCUGAGGCGCGAAAGCGUGGGGAGCAAACAGG